ACGAACGCUGGCGGCGUGCCUAAUACAUGCAAGUAGAACGCUGAAGAGAGGAGCUUGCUCUUCUUGGAUGAGUUGCGAACGGGUGAGUAACGCGUAGGUAACCUGCCUUGUAGCGGGGGAUAACUAUUGGAAACGAUAGCUAAUACCGCAUAACAAUGGAUGACACAUGUCAUUUAUUUGAAAGGGGCAAUUGUUCCACUACAAGAUGGACCUGCGUUGUAUUAGCUAGUAGGUGAGGUAAUGGCUCACCUAGGCGACGAUACAUAGCCGACCUGAGAGGGUGAUCGGCCACACUGGGACUGAGACACGGCCCAGACUCCUACGGGAGGCAGCAGUAGGGAAUCUUCGGCAAUGGGGGCAACCCUGACCGAGCAACGCCGCGUGAGUGAAGAAGGUUUUCGGAUCGUAAAGCUCUGUUGUAAGUCAAGAACGGGUGUGAGAGUGGAAAGUUCACACUGUGACGGUAGCUUACCAGAAAGGGACGGCUAACUACGUGCCAGCAGCCGCGGUAAUACGUAGGUCCCGAGCGUUGUCCGGAUUUAUUGGGCGUAAAGCGAGCGCAGGCGGUUUGAUAAGUCUGAAGUUAAAGGCUGUGGCUCAACCAUAGUUCGCUUUGGAAACUGUCAAACUUGAGUGCAGAAGGGGAGAGUGGAAUUCCAUGUGUAGCGGUGAAAUGCGUAGAUAUAUGGAGGAACACCGGUGGCGAAAGCGGCUCUCUGGUCUGUAACUGACGCUGAGGCUCGAAAGCGUGGGGAGCGAACAGGAUUAGAUACCCUGGUAGUCCACGCCGUAAACGAUGAGUGCUAGGUGUUGGAUCCUUUCCGGGAUUCAGUGCCGCAGCUAACGCAUUAAGCACUCCGCCUGGGGAGUACGACCGCAAGGUUGAAACUCAAAGGAAUUGACGGGGGCCCGCACAAGCGGUGGAGCAUGUGGUUUAAUUCGAAGCAACGCGAAGAACCUUACCAGGUCUUGACAUCCCGAUGCUAUUUCUAGAGAUAGAAAGUUACUUCGGUACAUCGGUGACAGGUGGUGCAUGGUUGUCGUCAGCUCGUGUCGUGAGAUGUUGGGUUAAGUCCCGCAACGAGCGCAACCCCUAUUGUUAGUUGCCAUCAUUCAGUUGGGCACUCUAGCGAGACUGCCGGUAAUAAACCGGAGGAAGGUGGGGAUGACGUCAAAUCAUCAUGCCCCUUAUGACCUGGGCUACACACGUGCUACAAUGGUUGGUACAACGAGUUGCGAGUCGGUGACGGCGAGCUAAUCUCUUAAAGCCAAUCUCAGUUCGGAUUGUAGGCUGCAACUCGCCUACAUGAAGUCGGAAUCGCUAGUAAUCGCGGAUCAGCACGCCGCGGUGAAUACGUUCCCGGGCCUUGUACACACCGCCCGUCACACCACGAGAGUUUGUAACACCCGAAGUCGGUGAGGUAACCUUUUGGAGCCAGCCGCCUAAGGUGGGACAGAUGAUUGGGGUG
rnacentral:rRNA from 1 species